rnacentral:rRNA from 1 species
GUCCUAGCCGUAAACGAUGGACACUAGGUGUUGGUGGUAUCAACCCCGCCAGUGCCGAAGCUAACGCAUUAAGUGUCCCGCCUGGGGAGUACGGCCGCAAGGCUAAAACUCAAAGGAAUUGACGGGGGCCCCGCACAAGCAGCGGAGCGUGGGGUUUAAUUCGACGCAACGCGAAGAACCUUACCAGGACUUGACAUGACCAGGACAGCGGCGGAAACGUCGUCUCCCCGCAAGGGGCCUGGCCACAGGUGUUGCAUGGCUGUCGU